CUGCGCCACCCGGACCUCGCCCACCUCACCGCGCUCGUCGUGCACCCGCACCGGGGGCAGGUGUACUGGGCGCUGGGCGCGCGCGCGGCGGGCGGCGAGUGCGUGGAGGCAGCGCGCGGGGACGGCUCGGCGCGCCGCGUGCUCGUGCGCGCGCAGCACCACCCGGACUUCGCCUCGCUCGCCAGCCUGGCGCUGGACGCGGCGCACGCCCGCCU